UACGUAGGGGGCAAGCGUUGUCCGGAAUCAUUGGGCGUAAAGCGCGUGUAGGCGGCCCGAUAAGUCCGCUGUGAAAUCUCGAGGCUCAACCUCGAGCUGUCGGUGGAAACUGUCUGGCUAGAGUCCGGAAGAGGAGAAUGGAAUUCCUGGUGUAGCGGUGAAAUGCGCAGAUAUCAGGAAGAACACCCGUGGCGAAGGCGGUUCGCUGGGACGGUACUGACGCUGAGACGCGAAAGCGUGGGGAGCAAACAGG
rnacentral:rRNA from 1 species